rnacentral:lncRNA from 1 species
GUUUUUGUUUAGGGUUUCAAUUAAUACACCUGACAUUUCGAGUGUGGCUAGGAUUGUUAGGGUUAGGGUUCUUCUUUUCGUAAGGGUCAUGGAUAGUGCAGAAGUAGCGGUACCUGAAAAUGACUCAGGGUUUGGCUAUUUUUAGGGCUAGGGUUAGGGUUAAGGUCAGGGUGAUAGAUAGCAUUGAAAUUGAAAUGCCUGUGUCGGUCAAAGUGGGUUGGAAAGUGAGUAUUAGGGUAAGUUCCUGUGGAAGAGGAGGGAUAAUGUCCAAUUGCAACCACGUGGGUAUUGUGAUUUGGUCCUGCGGCUUAGGGUUAGGGUUAGGAGUAUGAGUGCGUUUAGCUUUAGGGUUUCAAUUCAUGUACGUGACGUUUGGAGUGUGGGAAUGGUUGUUAGGUUUAGGGUUCUUCUUUUCGUUAUGGUCAUGUAUGCUGCGGAAGUAGCGGUACUAGAAAAUGACCUAGGGUUCAGCCAGGGUUCGGGCUAGGGUUAGGGUUAGUUUCAGGGUGAUAGAUAUGAUUGAAAUUGAAUUGCCUGUGUCUUCCAAAGCGGGUUGGAAAGUUAGUAUUAGUAAAAUUUCAUGGAGAGGCUGAGGGAAAAUAUAGAAUUUCAAGUACAUGGUUAUUGGGAUUUGGUCCUAUACCUUAGGGUUAGGCUUAGGGCUAGGUGUAGGUUUAUGUUUAGGGUUCCAAUUAAUACACCUGACAUUUCGAGUGUGGCUAGGAUUGUUAGGGUUAGGGUUCUUCUUUUCGUAAGGGUCAUGCAUAGUGUGGAAGUAGCGGUACCUGAAAAUGACUCAGGUUUUGGCUAGGGUUGUGGCUAGGGUUGGGGUUAGGAUCAGGGGGAUACAUAGUAUUGAAAUUGAAUUGCCUGUGUCUUUCAAAGUGGGUUGGAAAAUUAGUAUUAGCCUAACAUCCUGUGGAGGGGGCGGGAUAAUGUCUAAUUGCAAGCACCUGGAUAUUGUGAUUUUUCCUGAGGCUUAGGGUUAGGGUCAGGAUUUAUGUUUAGGUUUAGGGUUCCAGUUCAUGUACCUGACGUUUGGAGUGUGAGUAACAUUGUUAGGGUUAGGAUUCUUCUUUUCGUAAGGGUCAUGGAUAGUGCAGAACUAGCGGUACCAGAAAAUAGCAUAGGGUUCGCCUAAGGUUAGGGUUAGGGUUAGGGUUAGGGUCAGGGUGAUAGAUAGCAUUGAAAUUGAAAUGCCUGUGUCUUUCAAAGUGGCUUGGAAAGUUAGUAUUAGCAUAAAUUCAUUGGAAUUGGGAGGGAUAAUGUCAAAUUGCAAGCACCUGUUUAUUGUUAUUUGGUCCUGCGGCUUAGGGUUAGGGUUAGGGUUAGGAGUAUGUUUAGGUUUAGGGUUCC